CAUGACAAGUCACGUGGAAUGCCGGGAUAUGUCAUCUUCAGAUACUAACAAAUAUUAACAUCCAACCACCUGUAGGAAAUCAUAAUGAUACCUUAUGAUGGGGAAGGUUCAUAGAGUGUGAUGUAUCUUCAUUUACACCACCUUCUUUAGUCCUUAUCACAUCCUAUAAGGAUUUAGCUCCACUUUACAGGCGACAAGUGAAUGAGUGAAAGUCACUCACUCAUGUCCAACUCAUGGAAUUCCCCAGGCCAGAAUACUGGAGUGGGUAGCCAUUCCCUUCUCCAGGGGAUCUUCCCAACCCAGGGAUUGAACCCAGGUCUCUCGCAUUGCAGGCAGAUUAUUUACCAGCUGAGCCACAAGGGAAGCACACAGGCAACAAAGCUGAGGUUCUAGGUAACAGCCAGAAUCCAGCCUCCUGCCCCCUCAGCCACCUCCACACCAGGCAUUUAUCCUGGGGUGUCCUGCCCUCUGUGGGGUCAGAUGUCCCUUGACCGCUCACAUUCCACCACCCCAUCCCCUUCACAACCAUAGGCCUGCACGGACAGCUCUCCUUGACCCAUAGUCUAGCCUCUCAUCUUGGUGUUCCAAAUAUCCAUUGCUGAGUUUUAAUAUAAGGUUGGUGCAAAAGUAAUUGCGGUUUUGCAUUGUUAAACUUAGCUGUUUGAUAUUGGAAUACAUUCUUUAAAAAAAAAAUCUGGCUAUGUUAUACAUCUUUUUAAUGCACAUUUCUCGCUUUAUGCUUUUUUGCUGACAUUACUUGCUGUUUACUUUAUGCUUAUUUUAGACUAGGGAAUUGAUGUUAGACAAAAAACAAAGUCAAGCACUUUUCUUAUUUGACUUCAAAAUGGGUCAUAAAACAGCAGCAACAACUCACAACAUCCACAGUGCAUUUGGCCCAGGAACUGCUAACGACGGUACAGUGCAGUGAUGGUUCAAGAAGUUUUGCAAAGGAGACAAGAAUCUUGACGAUAAGGAGCAAAGUGGCCAGCCCUAUUCUUCCAGCCAUCAGAAGUUGUCAACGACAAACUGAGAGCGAUCAUCGAAGCUGAUCCUCUUACUACUACACACGAAGUUGCUGAAGAACUCAACGUGGACCAUUCUACAGUCAUUUGGCGUUUGAAGCGAAUUGGAAAGGUAAAAAAGCUUGACAAGUGGGUGCCUCAUGAGCUGACGACAAAUCAAAAAGAUUGGCUUUUUGAAGUGCCAUCUUCUCAUUCUACGCAGCAACAACAAACCAUUUCUUGAUUGGAUUCUAAUGUGCGACAAAAAGUGGGUUUUAUAUGACAACCAGUGAUGACCAGCUCAGUGGUGGGGCCAAGAAGAAGCUCCAAAGCACUUUCCAAAGCCGAAUUUGCACCAGAAAAUGGUCAUGGUCACUGUUUGGUGGUCUGCUGCUGAUCCUCUUCAGCUUUCUGAUCCCCAUUGAAACAUUACAUCUGAGAAGUGUGCUCAGGAAAUCAGUGAGAUGCACCCAAAACCGCAACACCUGUAGCCAGCAUUGAUCAACAGAAUGGACCCAAUUCUUCUCCAUGGCAACGUCACCCACGUGUCACACAACCAACGCUUCAAAAGUUGAACAAGUUGGGCUACGGAGUUUUGCCUUCCCACCACACUCCCCUGACCUCUCGCCAACCGACUACCACUUCUUCAAGCAUGUAGACAACAUCUUGCAGGGAAAAUGCUUCCCCAACCAGCAAGAAGCAGAGAAUGCCUUCCCAGAGUUCAACAAAUCCUGAGGCUCAGAUUUUUACAUUACAGGGAUAAACCAAUUUAUUUCUUGUUGGCAGAAGUGUGUUGAUUGUAAUGGUUCCUUUUUUGAUGAAUAAAGAUGUGUUUGAGCCUAGUUACAGUGAUUUAAAAUUCACAUUUCAAAACCGCGAUUACUUUUGCACCAACCAAAUAAACCACUUCAAAACCUAACAUCGUAAUUAAGCCCAAUGACAAAAGCAUCUCCAGGAGGAAGGUGUGACUGAAGCUGCUACUGUUUGAUUGACAUUCAAGACCAUCCUGUCUGCCCAGGGCAGUUCCCAGCCUCUGAAGAAUCAGGUUGACUUUCCUGAUUUCCCUGCCGCAGGGGUGUAACCUGUUUUUCUUUGAACCUCUGGAACUCUUCACCUGCUGCCACUUGGGACUCUCACCUGGUCUACCUGGGCUCAUAGUCCUGUUGCUGCUGCUGCUGCUGCUGCUGCUAAGUCGCUUCAGUCGUGUCCGACUCUGUGCAACCCCACGGACGGCAGCCCACCAGGCUCCCCCGUCCCUGGGAUUCUCCAGGUCUGUCUUCCCACCAGGAAAAGGACCAGGAAGAGGAGUUCCAGGCCUUUCAAGGAAGAUAGUCGACAAUGUCCAAGUCAAGGUGGGACGAGAUCUUCCAAUGCAGAGGGAAAUAAUUCCAAAGGAGGAGUUCGAAUUAUGUGUGAAACUGUGAAACUACAGUCGAAAUGAGUUCACUGA
ensembl:lncRNA